UACAGAGGUCUCAAGCGUUGUUCGGAUUCAUUGGGCGUAAAGGGUGCGUAGGCGGCGCGGUAAGUCGGGUGUGAAAUCUCGGAGCUUAACUCCGAAACUGCAUUCGAUACUGCCGUGCUUGAGGACUGGAGAGGAGACUGGAAUUUACGGUGUAGCGGUGAAAUGCGUAGAUAUCGUAAGGAAGACCAGUGGCGAAGGCGGGUCUCUGGACAGUUCCUGACGCUGAGGCGCGAAAGCCAGGGGAGCAAACGGG
rnacentral:rRNA from 1 species